CAAUAGCGUAUAUUAAAGUUGUUGCAGUUAAAAAGCUCGUAGUUGGAUUUCUGGUAGGAGUGACCGUUCCGAACUUGAUUGUUCGUGUAUUGUGUUUUCUCCAGCCAUCCUUGUGGAGAACUUUUCUUGCAUUAAUUUGUAGGGAUUGGGACCCGCAUCGUUUACUGUGAAAAAAUUAGAGUGUUUAAAGCAGGCAAUCGCUUGAAUACAUUAGCAUGGAAUAAUAAGAUAGGACUUUGGUACUAUUUUGUUGGUUUGCAUACCAAAUUAAUGAUCAACAGGAACAGUUUGAGGAUAUUCGUAUGAACAUGUCAGAGGUGAAAUUCUUGGAUUUUGAUCAGACGAACUACUGCGAAAGCAUUUAUCAAGGAUAUUUUCAUUAA
rnacentral:rRNA from 1 species